rnacentral:rRNA from 1 species
CCUACGGGAGGCAGCAGUCGAGAAUCAUUCACAAUGGGGGAAACCCUGAUGGUGCGACGCCGCGUGGGGGAAUGAAGGUCUUCGGAUUGUAAACCCCUGUCAUGUGGGAGCAAAUUAAAAAGAUAAUACCACACGAGGAAGAGACGGCUAACUCUGUGCCAGCAGCCGCGGUAAUACAGAGGUCUCAAGCGUUGUUCGGAAUCACUGGGCGUAAAGCGUGCGUAGGCUGUUUCGUAAGUCGUGUGUGAAAGGCGCGGGCUCAACCCGCGGACGGCACAUGAUACUGCGAGACUAGAGUAAUGGAGGGGGAACCGGAAUUCUCGGUGUAGCAGUGAAAUGCGUAGAUAUCGAGAGGAACACUCGUGGCGAAGGCGGGUUCCUGGACAUUAACUGACGCUGAGGCACGAAGGCCAGGGGAGCGAAAGGGAUUAGAUACCCUUGUAGUC